AGGCUGCCAUAGCUCCAGACAUCAAAGCCUCGUACAAGCAGAAUCCCAACAGGAAAGGAAGAUGGACCAGUUGCUGAUUUCCAUGGACUCAACCGUAUCACAGCCGCUGCAAAUGGACAUUGCAGACAGAGGAGACACUGAGAGAACGAGAAAGAAGUGGGCUUGCUAGCUUUGACCUCCAGGACCCAGUGUCUAAGCAGAAAGGAAGCUUAGACGAUGAAGAAACACAGGAGGAAGGUCUCUGAACCCCUUCCGGAACUUUCCGAGAAGGCCAAAGAGCAGUUGGCUGAGGCAGAGCUACGGAAACUAAGGCAGCAGUUCCGGAAGAUGGUAGACAGCCGAAAGUCUUCCAAUUUCCGCAACCAGCGGAUGAUCGCCAGCCAGUACAAGGAGAUAGAGAAUUUGAAAGCGGAGCAGGCAGAGACCACCUUGCUUCUGAGCCUCGUGAAGUCGCCAAAGAACCUAGACCUCAACCAGAAAAAUUUCACGGAGCUGCGCUUCCUGCUGCAGACCAAGGGGGACUACGAGGCUCUGAUCUCCUCCAUGAAGGUGCUGCUGGGAGAACUGGAUGACAAG
rnacentral:lncRNA from 1 species